GACGAACGCUGGCGGCGUGCUUAACACAUGCAAGUCGAACGGAAAGGCCCUGCUUGCAGGGUACUCGAGUGGCGAACGGGUGAGUAACACAUGGGUGAUCUGCCCUGCACUUCGGGAUAAGCCUGGGAAACUGGGUCUAAUACCGGAUAGGAGCCAUUUUUAGUGUGAUGGUUGGAAAGUUUUUUCGGUGUAGGAUGAGCUCGCGGCCUAUCAGCUUGUUGGUGGGGUAAUGGCCUACCAAGGCGGCGACGGGUAGCCGGCCUGAGAGGGUGGACGGCCACAUUGGGACUGAGAUACGGCCCAGACUCCUACGGGAGGCAGCAGUGGGGAAUAUUGCACAAUGGGCGCAAGCCUGAUGCAGCGACGCCGCGUGGGGGAUGACGGCCUUCGGGUUGUAAACUCCUUUCGCUAGGGACGAAGCUUUUUGUGACGGUACCUAGAUAAGAAGCACCGGCUAACUACGUG
rnacentral:rRNA from 1 species